rnacentral:rRNA from 1 species
GAUGAACGCUGGCGGCGUGCCUAAUACAUGCAAGUCGAGCGAACGGACGAGAAGCUUGCUUCUCUGAUGUUAGCGGCGGACGGGUGAGUAACACGUGGAUAACCUACCUAUAAGACUGGGAUAACUUCGGGAAACCGGAGCUAAUACCGGAUGAUAUUUUGAACCGCAUGGUUCAAAGGUGAAAGACGGUCUUGCUGUCACUUAUAGAUGGACCCGCGCUGCAUUAGCUAGUUGGUAAGGUAACGGCUUACCAAGGCAACGAUGCAUAGCCGACCUGAGAGGGUGAUCGGCCACACUGGAACUGAGACACGGUCCAGACUCCUACGGGAGGCAGCAGUAGGGAAUCUUCCGCAAUGGGCGAAAGCCUGACGGAGCAACGCCGCGUGAGUGAUGAAGGUCUUCGGAUCGUAAAACUCUGUUAUUAGGGAAGAACAUAUGUGUAAGUAACUGUGCACAUCUUGACGGUACCUAAUCAGAAAGCCACGGCUAACUACGUGCCAGCAGCCGCGGUAAUACGUAGGUGGCAAGCGUUAUCCGGAAUUAUUGGGCGUAAAGCGCGCGUAGGCGGUUUUUUAAGUCUGAUGUGAAAGCCCACGGCUCAACCGUGGAGGGUCAUUGGAAACUGGAAAACUUGAGUGCAGAAGAGGAAAGUGGAAUUCCAUGUGUAGCGGUGAAAUGCGCAGAGAUAUGGAGGAACACCAGUGGCGAAGGCGACUUUCUGGUCUGUAACUGACGCUGAUGUGCGAAAGCGUGGGGAUCAAACAGGAUUAGAUACCCUGGUAGUCCACGCCGUAAACGAUGAGUGCUAAGUGUUAGGGGGUUUCCGCCCCUUAGUGCUGCAGCUAACGCAUUAAGCACUCCGCCUGGGGAGUACGACCGCAAGGUUGAAACUCAAAGGAAUUGGCGGGGACCCGCACAAGCGGUGGAGCAUGUGGUUUAAUUCGAAGCAACGCGAAGAACCUUACCAAAUCUUGACAUCCUUUGACAACUCUAGAGAUAGAGCCUUCCCCUUCGGGGGACAAAGUGACAGGUGGUGCAUGGUUGUCGUCAGCUCGUGUCGUGAGAUGUUGGGUUAAGUCCCGCAACGAGCGCAACCCUUAAGCUUAGUUGCCAUCAUUAAGUUGGGCACUCUAAGUUGACUGCCGGUGACAAACCGGAGGAAGGUGGGGAUGACGUCAAAUCAUCAUGCCCCUUAUGAUUUGGGCUACACACGUGCUACAAUGGACAAUACAAAGGGCAGCGAAACCGCGAGGUCAAGCAAAUCCCAUAAAGUUGUUCUCAGUUCGGAUUGUAGUCUGCAACUCGACUACAUGAAGCUGGAAUCGCUAGUAAUCGUAGAUCAGCAUGCUACGGUGAAUACGUUCCCGGGUCU